rnacentral:rRNA from 1 species
GACUUAUUGAUUUAUAGGGUUAUUAUUAAAUGUGUAUAUUUUAUUUUAGAAAAAAAAGUUAAUUGAAUUUAUGUUCCUUUUGUAUAAGGGUAUUAGGAGAUAAGGUGUAAGCACAAUACUCCAAAUCUGAAGAUCUUUAUUUACUUUAAAUUUAAAAAUAAUUUUGAUAAGUUAGUAACGUAGCGAUAUACUUCCGAUUCAGAUAUAUGUAGAUGCACAAAACUCCGGUAAGUUGAGAGCAUGCUUUUUCAAAUUCAGUAUUCUAUUUAAUAAUUGUAAUAUUAUAUUGUUAUAAUAUUUUUAUAGGUUCUAUAAUAUUGAUACAUUAAAGGCUUAUACUAAUUUUAAAUGAUCUAAUUAGUAUCUAUCUAAUAAUAAGUAAUAUUUGUAUAUAUGUUUUAUUUGCGUAUAUCUAUACUUUUAGUUUGGAGUACUUACAAAUGUUUAUUAAAAACAUUUCUACUAUGGRUUAGUAGUAAGCCCUGCCCAGUGUAAUACUAUAAACGGCCGCAGUAUUUUGACUGUGCUAAGGUAGCAUAAUCAUUAGGUUAUUAAUUGUGAUCUGGUAUGAAUGGGUUAAUGUUAGGUACUAUGUGAUGUGUAGAUUCUUGAACUUUCUUUAUAGUGAAAAUGCUAUAGUUUGGUGUUAAGACGGAAAGACCCUUGAAAUUUUAUAAAAUUUUAUUUAAUUGGGGAAAUUAAUGAAUAUAUAGUAUCAUUUGUGUAAUUACUCAAGGGAUAACAGGGUAAUCUAAUUUAAUUUAGGAUUACUACCUCGAUGUUGGAUCAUCCUAUAUGGAGUCUGUUCGRUUUUAUAUUUAGGGUACGUGAUCUGAGUUUAGAUCGGCGUGAGCCCAGAUCGGUUCUUAUCUAUACUAUAACCUUUAUAGUACGAAAGGAUGUUUUGGUUAUAAUUAUUAUAUUUA